ensembl:lncRNA
GUGCUGUAGAAGUUUUGUUUGUUUUCAGUGUUUGUAGUUUAUAAAGUAUUUAACUCAAUCAUCGGUGUGAUCGCUCUAGAUCGUGGUUGUUUUUGUUUGGGACCGCGCCCGUUAUGGAUCGCAUGGAUUAGUAGCAACAUUGCCCACGAAUCUUUAACAUACAAACCAACAAACCAUCGAAACGAGAGAAGAGGAAGCAUGAUAAGAUCCUUCCUGAGGAGCUCUUCCCAGCAGUCAUCAACCUCAACCAGUUCCUCUCUCCAGAACAUUACAUUGACUACAUCGCCUGGGACAUGGCCCGGAACUGCAAGAGACAUCUGACGUUCUGAGUAGCUCUGGGGUUUCUCGCUUGGAGGCUACCAUGCUGCUCUCUGGAGGGCCAGCCUUCUAAGACAACCACAAUUUUUUUUUAAAGCAGGAAAGAGAAUGGAAGAAAAGGAUUUUGGGCUCUGCUGGGGAAGAGGCAGGACAAUACUGGUUACUCAGCCAGCCUUGGUUGGCCUGUAACCUUGUCUCCUGUAUGAGAUGUCAGCAUGACCGCUUAUAUAAUCUGUUAUCAGGCUAGUACAGCUAGGUCUUAAUACUGUAUCUCUAGCUUUGAUUAGAUUGCAUCUUGAGUUCAACCCCAUCAAAUCAAGACAUGGAUGGAAAAAACAUUAGCGUAUGAUGCUUUGCAUAAGAGCAUGGGGCUGGACUUGGCAAUGAAGCAAGCCUAGAGUGACUAAAUUGAUAAGCAGAGAAGAUUGGAUGUUAAUCUGGAUGGUAAUGAAAGAGAGGCUCUACUCAUAGCAUAUGUUCCUCUGGUUGUUAUCAUAGAGUGCUUUAGGCCAUUGUGGAAUUGGAUAAUUACUCCUUGAUGCACCUGUCCUAAAUGUGUUCAGAUUCAGAAACUUAAGAGUUGUGCCAUCUCUAGAAAAUUGGAGUAUAAAAGUUCAACAAACAUACUAAACAUACCCUCCUCGGAUGGGGAGACCUUGCUGGAUGUCUCACCUCAAGUGGGCACAUAUCAACUUACUGUUUUCCUGUGGCUUGGCUGCUCCUAGCAUGACAGCCAUGUUUUUUCCCCU